AGCAGCCGCGGUAAUUCCAGCUCCAAUAGCGUAUAUUAAAGUUGUUGCAGUUAAAAAGCCCGUAGUUGAAUUUCGGGAUUGACACAUCGGUCGUGCCUUAAGGGGUAUGAACUGGUGUAGUCAAUUUCUCACCUUCUGGAGAACCGCGAUGCCCUUAAUUGGGUGUCACGGGGAACCAGGACCUUUACUUUGAAAAAAUUAGAGUGUUUAAAGACAGGCAUUUUGCUUGAAUACAUUAGCAUGGGAUAAUAAAAUAGGACGGCAUGAUUCUAUUUUGUUGGUUUCUAGGAUCACCGUAAUGAUUAAUAGGGAUAGCUGGGGGCAUUAGUAUUCAAUUGUCAGAGGUGAAAUUCUUGGAUUUAUUGAAGACUAACUACUGCGAAAGCAUUUGCCAAGGAUGUUUUCAUUAAUCAAGAACGAAAGUUAGGGGAUCGAAGACGAUCAGAUACCGUCGUAGUCUUAACCAUAAACUAUGCCGACUAGGAAUCAGACGAUGUUAAUUUUUAAUGUACUCGUUUGG
rnacentral:rRNA from 1 species